UAACACGUGGGUAACCUGCCUUAUAGUGGGGGAUAGCCUUUCGAAAGGAAGAUUAAUACCGCAUAAGAUUGUAGUAUCGCAUGAUAUAGCAAUUAAAGGAGCAAUUCGCUAUAAGAUGGACCCGCGUCGCAUUAGCUAGUUGGUGAGGUAAUGGCUCACCAAGGCGACGAUGCGUAGCCGACCUGAGAGGGUGAACGGCCACAUUGGGACUGAGACACGGUCCAGACUCCUACGGGAGGCAGCAUG
rnacentral:rRNA from 1 species